GUGCUGGCUUUGGCGGCACAUAUACUAAAAAUUGGAACAACACAGAGCAGAUUAGCAUGGCCCUUUAACAAACUGAAAGAUACUUAAACAUAAAAAGAAAUUAUACAUAAAA
ensembl:snRNA U6 U6 spliceosomal RNA